rnacentral:rRNA from 1 species
GAUGAACGCUAGCGACAGGCUUAACACAUGCAAGUCGAGGGGCAGCGGGGUGUGGCAACACACUGCCGGCGACCGGCGCACGGGUGGGUAACGCGUAUGCAACUUGCCUAUCAGAGGGGGAUAACCCGGCGAAAGUCGGACUAAUACCGCAUAAAACAGGGGUCCCGCAUGGGGAUAUUUGUUAAAGAUUCAUCGCUGAUAGAUAGGCAUGCGUUCCAUUAGGCAGUUGGCGGGGUAACGGCCCACCAAACCGACGAUGGAUAGGGGUUCUGAGAGGAAGGUCCCCCACAUUGGUACUGAGACACGGACCAAACUCCUACGGGAGGCAGCAGUGAGGAAUAUUGGUCAAUGGCCGGGAGGCUGAACCAGCCAAGUCGCGUGAAGGAUGAAGGUUCUAUGGAUUGUAAACUUCUUUUGUGCGGGAAUAAAGUCGGGGACGUGUCCCCGUUUGCAUGUACCGUACGAAUAAGCAUCGGCUAACUCCGUGCCAGCAGCCGCUGUAA